rnacentral:lncRNA from 1 species
GAAACACUGAUCCCUCAGUAAUUACCUCUUCUUCUGGAUUUGAGGACUCUUGAGGAGUUUUUUCACUGUGCUUUCUUCAUAAAGUCGAGCUAUCCUUGCUUGGCAGGUAGGAUUUUCACAAGACAGUGAUCCCUUUAAGACUGUUUCCUUUCCCUCAUAGAAAAUGGUCUAAUAACUUGAAUCGUUGCCAGUAGUCACUUCUGUUUUGAAUCAAAUGAUAUGUUUACUUAAAAUGGUGUCUUUAGACAUUAUUAUCAUAUUAGAGGAAGCAAUCAGGAGGAUUGUUUUCUUUAC